rnacentral:rRNA from 1 species
UACGUAGGGGGCGAGCGUUGUCCGGAUUCAUUGGGCGUAAAGCGCUUUAAGGCGGUUCGCUAAGUCGCGUGUGAAACCUCCAGGCUCAACCUGGAGACGCCACGCGAUACUGGCGUGACUAGAGUUCGGUAGGGGAUCGCGGAAUUCCUGGUGUAGCGGUGAAAUGCGCAGAUAUCAGGAGGAACACCGGUGGCGAAGGCGGUGAUCUGGGCCGACACUGACGCUGUAGAGCGAAAGCGUGGGGAGCGAACAGG